rnacentral:lncRNA from 1 species
AUGUCAUUUGUUGCCAAUAAUUUUUAAAGCCAAAUGAAAUGGACAAUUUUCUAGGAAAACAGAUUGCUGAGCUUUAAAAACUGUAAAGUCAACCGCAACAACUAUCUAGAGAAGAUAUUGAAGGGGGGGUGUCAAAUAUCUACCCCUCAAAUAAGAAAUAACCUAGGGUAAUAUCACAAGAAGUUUCUGAAAAUAGCAGUGACUGUAUUAUGUAAUCUGUACCAAGGAAUAGUAUAUAUGUAAAUCCCUAAGUCUAUCCCAUGAGGUUCUGAUACCAAAUCUGCUCUAGAAAAACUUAAAUAAAUAAAUGUACAAAUAUUCUAAAUCAAAUAUCAGCAAAAAUACAACCCUGUGAGUUUGUUCUAGAGUAUAAAAAUAGCUGGAUGCUUAUAAAUCUAAUAUAAUUCAUUAAUCAACAUAAUGCAAGAAAACAGAGAGCAUAGCGUGACCCUUAGAAGCAAAAUGAUAAGGAGAUAAAACAAAUUUCACAAUAUAUAAGCAUGGAUGCAAGUGAUUACAAUGAUGAUACCCAAUGAUAAUGUAAUUUUUUACACCUGCUUCUAAAAACAUAGAUAACCAAAUCAUUCUUGAAUACAUAGCAGCUUAUGGUGGCAAAGGCAAUACAUUAAAGAAUUAAAAUCUAGGACUCUGCCUCCAGACAUCCACCAAAAUAAGCAGUCUUAUUUUGAAAAUGGUCCUCGGUCCUCAAGUCAGCCUCUUAAUUGACUUUUUCCCAAAUAUGGAUGUUGCUAGAAACAGGGCAGCCCCUGCCACGGAACCAGGUCACAAGGCCAUCAUCACGUCCUUGGUUAACUGCCUAAAUGCUGGUCCCCUCAGCAGACUGUGAGCAACUUGGGAGCAGAGUGGGGUUUUAUUCAUCUCUGUGUCCCCAGCUCCUUGUGCCCUUCUAGGGCUUGUGAUCAACAAAUACUUGUGGGAGUGAACUGAAUUCUCAUCCAGGAUGACAAGAGAAACAUGCCUUCUACCACAUGGUGCUUCACAUAAGCAAAAAGAAUUACUGGUUCUCUCCCUGGAUUCACCUGAGUUGAAGUUAAGAGCCUCUCCGGGACACUCUGCAGGAGGCGGAGGGUACAGUGUUGCCCCAGUGCAAGGUGGAAGAGUAGAUGGGAAAAUGAGCCGUCCAUCAGGAGUUACGGGAGGACAGCAGAAGGCAUGGAGAUAGGAAGGAAGAAAGGAAGACUUUUUUUGUGCCCAUUGCUUGGAGUUUACUAGUUUACCACUAUGUUGAUAUUCACUCUUAUAUACAGAGAAGAGAAAGAAGGAAAAAGGGGGAAUAAAGAGAAACCAGGAGUCUCA